CAGAGAAUAGUUUAUAAAAAUUUUAGUUUUGGAGACUAAAGAUAGGAGUUUUCUUUUCUCUGA
rnacentral:tRNA from 1 species